rnacentral:lncRNA from 1 species
GGUCAAAAACAUCCAUUCUACUUUAAGGUAUUGAGGCAAAGAAGAGAGCCUCACUCAAGUCAUUGUGCGCCGCAGGGUUUCUCUCAGGACACGUGUGUGGGAAUCAAGAAAAACUGAACCAUCUGGUCAAGGAAUCUUGGGAAUUCUGGAAGAGCUGUGCACCCCAGGACAGGAGCUGAAAAUCUUCCUUACAUUUCAUUC